GCCCUCGUAGCUCAGGGGAUAGAGCACCGGCCUCCGGAGCCGGGUGCGUAGGUUCGAAUCCUACCGGGGGCACCA
rnacentral:tRNA from 1 species